GUGGUUGGGAUUGUGUGGCGAAUGGAGAAUGUGGGUUUUUGAGUGGCGGGGAGGAGAGGGGAUGGCGCUUUAACGGGGAGGAGGAUUUCGACACGACCCCCGCUGCAGCGGUUGUGAUUGACGUGGAAGGUUCGCCUGCAAAAUUAUGAGGUCCCUAUUCCAUGAAAGUUCUAUGAGAAGCUUGGAUCUAAAGAUGGAAUGUCGAUACCCACUUCAGAUCGAUAUAUGAUGAUAGAUAUGAUGAUAGACCUGAUAAGUUAUAGAUAUAUGUUCCCAGGAGACAUCAUUUUAUCCCCCCCUCCCCUCUUCUCACCCCCUUUUCUUUUGUUUUAUUACUGGUUGUUCUAAUUCAUUUUUCUUCGUUUUCAAUUUCCUUCUUUCAAGCAAGUUAUAUUUCUGCCACUGUUCAUAUUGAAGUAACUAUUCUCUAGCAAGUGCACUAAAACGAUUAUGAUCUAGAUACAAGUACGAAAAUCAAUGAAGCCAAACAACUCCGGAUUCAACGACGUAAAUCAAAACAGGACAGAAUAAAAAGGGAAGGAAAAAAAGCCCACAGCUAUAUCCCGUCAUUGCGCAUGCGUCCAUCAGAGAAAGAGCCCCUUAGCAGGUAUAUUCCAUAUACCAACCAUUGGUAGCAUCCUGCUCCAUUUUGACACUCCCAUCAUAGUCCAGAGAAAGAAGAAGGCUCAGCUUCUCCUGACACUCUACCGAGGUGACAAGAAUCCUUUACGACAAACUUGCGCUUCUCGCCCUGAUCCCAUCUGAUGGCGCAGUGCUUGGCUCCCUUGGGUACAUCGAAAGUCAUUUGCUGAUCGUGUUUCUUGUCUCCGGCCUUGCUAAGUUUGAUGUAAUGUCCGAUCUUUUCGCUGGGUUUGCCGUCGACCAUGGCGCGCAUCUCGGGCACGCGUAGGACUCCGCUCUCACCGGGUUUGCAGGAGCUUCGGCCAACUGGGCAAUCUGGGGUGCUGGAGUAGCCAUUUCUAGCUGGGAUGGCGGAGACUGUUUGCAUGCUCAAAGCAGCCAGGAGGAAUGCGGUUGCUUUAAGGAAGUGCAUUAUUGCGGCUGAAGUAGUUUCGGUGGUUGUGAGAGCGGUUUUGUGGGAUGGAAUAAUAUCAAGGGGAUAGUUAUCGUUGGUUUGAGGGUGGAGCAAUUGGUAUUUUAUUGAUUUAAGUAAUGCAAAUAUGGCAUUCGAUUGAGGAUGUCGAACGAUGAGAGGAGAUGAAAAACCGCAUUCUGGGAGCCGGCGGAGGAAGCAUAUUUAUACAAUUCUUGCUCGCAUUCAUUUGAGCUAUCCCUGAGCUAUUGAGGAUGGUUGAAUUCCACAAUGAUCAUACAUGGAGAAAAUUCAUAUAACCUGUCUAGGCAAAGAUAUCAGCUCCAAACCCAGCCCACCUCGAUCCCCACCCGCGAAUAACAUCUGACGCUUGCUAGUUGGCUCGUGAGCAGAUUGGCUCAGGGCAUGGCAAACAACUUCGACAAGCCCGUCGAAUAGACUGACAGUGGGUCAGGGUGCAGGGAGUCAAAGUCAUGGAGUCGGCCCUAGCGACUUGGAUCGCGUUUGUUACUGGCUCCAUGCUCAGUAGCGACAUAGCCGCAUUCAGAGAAUUUAAAUAUAGCUACGGCUCAACUUGCCAAGCUGCCAGCCUUAUGCAACCUGGAGCAGAAAUUGGCUUCUUACAAAGACAACAGGGAGGAUGAGCUGUCGACUUUGUUUGCUUACCAUCCUUGUGCAACGACGUCAAGUCCCAUCGUGCGAUCAGGCUUCCGUGAUCCCCAUCCUGCGGACAAGGUUUGACGAUGAUAAGGCCGAAGUGAAAAAUAUCACGCGCAAGUAGGCUUCCUUUGAUUACAGCCAAGUGCAAAGCAACUUGAAGUCCCCGCCCGAUGGCCAUUUCCUCAUAGCCCUGGGUCAGCAUAGCCUCGCGGAAGCAGUUGGAAUUUGUGUCUGAUUGUCAAACAAAAGGAUAAUUCAAGCUCAUAGCCGGUAACUAACAAGUGGAGGAUACUGUCAAACACCCCCUACACAGACGUCACAUAUCGAUCGUUGACACACUACCUGAGAUUUAGAUUCCAUUUGAUCGUAAUCACUGUGCGAAAAUUUCCAAUUGCAUAUUGGAAUCAUGUUCAAUUUAGCGGCGUGGCAUUCCCGGAUAUGAAAGGAACAGACAUAGUUUCAGGGACUACGAGAGUUACUAUUUUGAGAUCAAGAGUGG
rnacentral:sRNA from 2 species